GCUCAACCGGGGAGGGUCAUUGGAAACUGGGAAACUUGAGUGCAGAAGAGGAGAGUGGAAUUCCACGUGUAGCGGUGAAAUGCGUAGAGAUGUGGAGGAACACCAGUGGCGAAGGCGACUCUCUGGUCUGUAACUGACGCUGAGGAGCGAAAGCGUGGGGAGCGAACAGGAUUAGAUACCCUGGUAGUCCACGCCGUAAACGAUGAGUGCUAAGUGUUAGGGGGUUUCCGCCCCUUAGUGCUGCAGCUAACGCAUUAAGCACUCCGCCUGGGGAGUACGGUCGCAAGACUGAAACUCAAAGGAAUUGACGGGGGCCCGCACAAGCGGUGGAGCAUGUGGUUUAAUUCGAAGCAACGCGAAGAACCUUACCAGGUCUUGACAUCCUCUGACAACCCUAGAGAUAGGGCUUUCCCUUCGGGGACAGAGUGACAGGUGGUGCAUGGUUGUCGUCAGCUCGUGUCGUGAGAUGUUGGGUUAAGUCCCGCAACGAGCGCAACCCUUGAUCUUAGUUGCCAGCAUUUAGUUGGGCACUCUAAGGUGACUGCCGGUGACAAACCGGAGGAAGGUGGGGAUGACGUCAAAUCAUCAUGCCCCUUAUGACCUGAGCUACACACGUGCUACAAUGGACAGAUCAAAG
rnacentral:rRNA from 1 species